rnacentral:rRNA from 1 species
GAUGAACGCUAGCUAUAGGCUUAACACAUGCAAGUCGAGGGGAAACGAUAGAGAAAGCUUGCUUUUUCUAGGCGUCGACCGGCGCACGAGUGAGUAACGCGUAUCCAACCUGCCCACCACUUGGGAUAACCUUGCGAAAGUAAGACUAAUACCCAAUGAUAUCUCUAGAAGACAUCCGAAAGAGAUUAAAGAUUUAUCGGUGAUGGAUGGGGAUGCGUCUGAUUAGCUUGUUGGCGGGGUAACGGCCCACCAAGGCGACGAUCAGUAGGGGUUCUGAGAGGAAGGUCACCCACAUUGGAACGGAGACACGGUCCAAACUCCUACGGGAGGCAGCAGUGAGGAAUAUUGGUCAAUGGGCGUGAGCCUGAACCAGCCAAGUAGCGUGCAGGAUGACGGCCCUAUGGGUUGUAAACUGCUUUUAUAAGGGAAUAAAGUGAGUCUCGUGAGACUUUUUGCAUGUACCUUAUGAAUAAGGACCGGCUAAUUCCGUGCCAGCAGCCGCCGUAA